GCAUUGGUAGUAUAGUGGUGAGCAUAGCACCCUUCCAAGCACUUAACUUGGAUUUAAUUUCCAGCCAAUGCA